UGGUGCUGUAGAUGCUUUGUUGGACCUGCUAAGAUCUCGUCAGUGUGAAGAGUUAUCAGGAAGAUUACUUGAAGCUUUAUUUAAUCAUAUCAGGGUACGAGAGAUGAAGGUUUCCAAGUAUGCUAUUGCACCUUUAGCACAGUAUCUAUUAGACCCACAAACAAAAUCAGAUACCUGCAGGCUACUUGCUGCACUAGCUAUUGGG
rnacentral:misc_RNA from 1 species